CCCUGGCGGCGUGCUAUACAUGCAAGUCGAGCGGAUCGAUGGGAGCUUGCUCCCUGAGAUCAGCGGCGGACGGGUGAGUAACACGUGGGUAACCUGCCUGUAAGACUGGGAUAACUCCGGGAAACCGGGGCUAAUACCGGAUAAUUUAGUUCCUCGCAUGAGGAACUGUUGAAAGGUGGCUUCGGCUACCACUUACAGAUGGACCCGCGGCGCAUUAACUAGUUGGUGAGGUAACGGCUCACCAAGGGAACGAUGCGUAACCGACCUGAAAGGGUGAUCGGCCACACUGGGACUGAAACACGGCCCAGACUCCUACGGGAGGCAGCAGUAGGGAAUCUUCCGCAAUGGACGAAAGUCUGACGGAACAACGCCGCGUGAGUGAAGAAGGUUUUCGGAUCGUAAAACUCUGUUGUUAGGGAAGAACAAGUGCCGUUCGAAUAGGGCGGCACCUUGACGGUACCUAACCAGAAAGCCACGGCUAACUACGUGCCAGCAGCCGCGGUAAUACGUAAGUGGCAAGCGUUGUCCGGAAUUAUUGGGCGUAAAGCGCGCGCAGGUGGUUUCUUAAGUCUGAUGUGAAAGCCCACGGCUCAACCGUGGAGGGUCAUUGGAAACUGGGGAACUUGAGUGCAGAAGAAGAAAGUGGAAUUCCAAGUGUAGCGGUGAAAUGCGUAGAUAUUUGGAGGAACACCAGUGGCGAAAGCGACUUUCUGGUCUGUAACUGACACUGAAGCGCGAAAGCGUGGGGAGCAAACAAGAUUAGAUACCCUGGUAGUCCACGCCGUAAACGAUGAAUGCUAAGUGUUAGAGGGUUUCCGCCCUUUAGUGCUGCAGCUAACGCAUUAAGCACUUCCGCCUGGGGAGUACGGUCGCAGGACUGAAACUCAAAGAAUUGACCGGGGGCCGCACAAGCCGGUGGAGCAUGUGGUUUAAUCCGAAGCACGCCGAAGAACUUACCAGUCUUGACAUCCUCUGACAACCCUAGAGAUAGGGCUUCCCCUCGGGGACGAUGACAGUGGUGCAUGCUGUCGUCAGCUCCUGUCUGGAAUGUGGUAGGUCCGCACGAGCGCAACCUGGAACUUAGUGGCAGCAUCAGUGGCACUCUAGAUGACUGCAGUGACCAUCGAGAGUGGAUGACUCAAUCUCAUGCCUUAGACUGGCUACACACGUGCUA
rnacentral:rRNA from 2 species